GGUUAAAUAUUAACUGUACCGAAGACAGUAGGUGACACUAGUCAUAAUUCCUACCGAGGACGUUUAUUGAUGAGAACAUUCAAUAGUCCCUCUAUGUCUACGGUGGCAUAGGGCUUUUUGUAUUUAUAG
rfam:Enterococcus aquimarinus strain DSM 17690 Scaffold22, whole genome shotgun sequence.